rnacentral:rRNA from 1 species
GACGAACCGUGCGAACGUUAUUCGGAAUCACUGGGCUUAAAGCGCGUGUAGGUGGGACGGCACGUCGGUCGUUGAAAUCCCCGGGCUCAACCCGGGAACUGCGUCCGAUACUGGCAGGCUUGAAUCCGGGAGAGGGAUGCGGAAUUCCAGGUGUAGCGGUGAAAUGCGUAGAUAUCUGGAGGAACACCGGUGGCGAAGGCGGCAUCCUGGACCGGCAUUGACGCUGAGGCGCGAAAGCCAGGGGAGCAAACGGG